CCAAUAGCGUAUAUUAAAGUUGUUGCAGUUAAAAAGCUCGUAGUUGAACUUCGGGGUUUACCCAUUGGUCAGGCUUAAUUGUCUGUACUGGUGAGAUGAAUCUCUACCUUCUGAGGAACUUUCAUGCCAUUUAUUUGGUGUGAUUGGAAAUCAGGACUGUUACUUUGAAAAAAUUAGAGUGUUUAAAGCAGGCUAACGUCUGAAUACAUUAGCAUGGAAUAAUGAAAUAGGACGGACUGAUUCUAUUUCGUUGGUUUCUAGGAUCACCGUAAUGAUUAAUAGGGAUAGUUGGGGGCAUUAGUAUUCAAUUGUCAGAGGUGAAAUUCUUGGAUUUAUUGAAGACUAACUACUGCGAAAGCAUUUGCCAAGGAUGUUUUCAUUAAUCAAGAACGAAAGUUAGGGGAUCGAAGACGAUCAGAUACCGUCGUAGUCUUAACCAUAAACUAUGCCGACUAGGGAUCGGAUGAUGUUAAUUUUUUAAUGACUCAUUCGGCGCCUUACG
rnacentral:rRNA from 1 species